rnacentral:lncRNA from 1 species
CGAACUCAUUUUCCUAUUGGAUAACUAAGCUUCCUUAAUUUAUUGCAUUUAUUUGUUUUCGAGCUAUAUUUAAAAAUAUAAUUAUGUGUUUUUCCUGUUGUGUUUCAAACAAUAUUAACAUUUCUGUAGUAUUAUUAAUAUCUUAUCAAAUGCAUUGGAUAUGAUUAGAGAUAGGGCAUUAUUUUCUUUAAAAACAUUGUCUAGAACUAAUUAAUAUAUGGGGCCUCAAUGGCCGAGUGGUUAAAGUUGCAGACUUCGAACCACUUGCCCCUCACCUAUGUGGGUUCGAGCAUCGUUCGGGGCGUUGACCUUUUCAUGUGAGGAAGCCAUCCAGCUGGCUUCCGGGAGGCCGAUUUUUCUAUCCAGUUGCACGUCUGUGACAGAAUAAUUCACGCAGGGACACAUGGGUUCUUCCUUCACCAUCAAAACCUUUGAUGAUAAAACCAACAAAAAUGUAUGCAUUGUCUGAUUAAGCUUCAUUCUAUGUAUUAUAAGGUCUGAAGUUUGCCAGACGUUCAAUGAAUUUGUUACCCCUUUUCCGUUUGCAUUUUGAUGAAUCUUCACGUAUACAUCUUAAUGAAUUAAUUUACUAGAUACCUAACCAGCUACCCAUCUGCCUCAAAAUAAAGUAAAUACAGCAUUAUAUUGUUGAUCUGUGCUAACGUAGAACAGUUAUUGGAAAUCUCGCUGAGACAUUCGUAGUGUUACGAAUUGCAAUCUUGCACUACGGAGAUAGAAAAUAUGGUGAGUUCAUGGUGUGUUAUCUGUUAGAGGAUAAAAUUAAGCCUCGUAGGAUAAAAUUAAACCACAUUAGUAUUUAAAAGUUAUGAAAAUGAAAUCUACGAGCACAAAUCAAGAAGCGGUCAAAGAUGAAAGGACACAAAGAACAAACACCAUGAAGCUACAAUAGAAAAAGAAACUCUGAAAGACUUAAGCAAA